rnacentral:rRNA from 1 species
AACCUAAUAGCUAGCCCAAAGAACUAAAACCAAAAACUAAAAAUUUAUAACCCCUAAUAUACCAAACAUUUUAAACAAACCAUUUUUCCUCUUUAGUAUGGGAGACAGAAAAAGACAUUUGAGCGACAGAAAAAGUACCGCAAGGGAACGCUGAAAAAGAACUGAAAUAAUUGAAUAAGUGAAAUAAAGUAGAGAUAAGAACUCGUACCUUUUGCAUCAUGGUUUAGCUAGUACUACUAAAGCAAAAAGAAUUAUAGUUUUGUAACCCGAAACUAGGUGAGCUACUCCAGGACAGCCUAUUAUUAGGGCAUACCUGUCUCUGUGGCAAAAGAGUUGGAAGAGCCUUGAGUAGGGGUGACAAACCUAUCGAACCUAGUUAUAGCUGGUUGCCUGUAAAUUGGAUUUAAGUUCAGCCCCUUACAUUUCUUAAAUCAGCCCACCUUUAAGGAUAAAGAAUGUAAAGGAGUUAAUUAAAGGAGGUACAGCUCCUUUAUUUUAAGAUACAACUUAUUAGGUUGGAUAAAGAUCAUAUUUCUUAAGAGAAACAUGUUUAGGUGGGCCUAAGAGCAGCCAUCCUAGAUAAAAGCGUUAAAGCUUAAACAUAUUAAUUCUCCUAAAUUCAGAUAUUUCCUCUGAUUCCCCCCUAACAAUAACAGGCUUUCCUAUGCCUCCAUAGGAAUAAUUAUGCUAAAAUGAGUAAUAAGAGACGAACACUCUCUCCAAGCACACGUGUACAUCGGAACGAACCGCCACCGAAAAUUAAAGAGCCCAGCCAAAGAGGGCACUGAGAAAUCUAUAAAAACCAGGAAGAUCACUCAGAAAUAAAUCUUUUACCCCACACUGGUGUGCUUACAUGGAAAAACUAAAAGAGUAAGAAGGAACUCGGCAAACUCAAGCCUCGCCUGUUUACCAAAAACAUCGCCUCUUGAAAUUUUUAUAUAAGAGGUCCCGCCUGCCCUGUGACCCUGGGUUUAACGGCCGCGGUAUCUUGACCGUGCGAAGGUAGCGAAAUCACUUGUCUCUUAAAUGGAGACCUGUAUGAAUGGCAUAACGAGGGCUUAACUGUCUCCUUGCUCUAGUUAAUGAAAUUGACCUCCCCGUGCAGAGGCGGGGAUAUACUCAUAAGACGAGAAGACCCUAUGGAGCUUUAGGCACAAGAAUUACCCGCAGAUUAGACCCCUUUUAAAGGGUACAACCCUGCUAUAAUAAUUAGUUUGCCUUUGGUUGGGGCGACCGCGGGGAAAUAUAAAACCCCCACGUGGAGUGGGGCCACCGGCCCUAAAAACAAGAGCCCAUCUGCUCUAAUUAACAGAACUUCUGACCUUAGUGAUCCGGUAUAAACCGAUCAACGGACCGAGUUACCCUAGGGAUAACAGCGCAAUCCUCUCUUAGAGCCCAUAUCGACGAGGGGGUUUACGACCUCGAUGUUGGAUCAGGAUGUCCUAAUGGUGCAGCCGCUAUUAAGGGUUCGUUUGUUCAACGAUUAAAAUCCUACGUGAUCUGAGUUCAGACCGGAGUAAUCCAGGUCGGUUUCUAUCUAUGACGCGAUCUGUUUUAGUACGAAAGGACCAAAGAGAUGAGAUCCCUGUCACAGACAAAUCUUCCCCUCAUUUACUGACUUACUAAAGUAAACAAGAGGGAGCAGCCUACAGCCGUAAAACACGGCAU